rnacentral:rRNA from 1 species
AUUGGACGCUGGCGGCAUGCUUAACACAUGCAAGUCGAACGGUAACAGGACGCUCUGAUUCCUUCGGGAUGAAGUUGUCGCUGACGAGUGGCGGACGGGUGAGUAAUGCAUAGGAAUCUACCCAGUAGUGGGGGAUAACGUGGAGAAAUCCACGCUAAUACCGCAUAUGUCCUACGGGACAAAGCAGGGGACCUUCGGGCCUUGCGCUAUUGGAUGAGCCUAUGUUGGAUUAGCUUGUUGGUGAGGUAAAGGCUCACCAAGGCAACGAUCCAUAGCUGGUCUGAGAGGAUGAUCAGCCACACUGGGACUGAGACACGGCCCAG